rnacentral:rRNA from 1 species
AUUGAACGCUGGCGGCAUGCCUUACACAUGCAAGUCGAACGGUAACGCGGGGCAACCUGGCGACGAGUGGCGAACGGGUGAGUAAUGCAUCGGAACGUGCCGAGUAGUGGGGGAUAGCCCGGCGAAAGCCGGAUUAAUACCGCAUACGACCUAUGGGUGAAAGCGGGGGACCGGAAGGCCUCGCGCUAUUCGAGCGGACGAUGGCAGAUUAGGUUGUUGGUGGGGUAAAAGGCUACACAGCCGCCGAUCUGUAGCUGGUCUGAGCGGACGACCAGCCACACUGGGACUGAGACACGGCCCAGACUCCUACGGGAGGCAGCAGUGGGGAAUAUUGGACAAUGGGCGCAAGCCUGAUCCAGCCAUACCGCGUGGGUGAAGAAGGCCUUCGGGUUGUAAAGCCCUUUUGUUGGGAAAGAAAUCCAGCCGGCUAAUACCUGGUUGGGAUGACGGUACCCAAAGAAUAAGCACCGGCUAACUUCGUGCCAGCAGCCGCCGUAA